rnacentral:rRNA from 1 species
CUAGUGGCGGACGGGUGAGUAACGCGUGGGAACGUGCCCUUUGGUUCGGAAUAGCCCUGGGAAACUGGGAGUAAUACCGGAUGUGCCCUUCGGGGGAAAGAUUUAUCGCCAAAGGAUCGGCCCGCGUUGGAUUAGGUAGUUGGUGGGGUAAUGGCCUACCAAGCCGACGAUCCAUAGCUGGUUUGAGAGGAUGAUCAGCCACACUGGGACUGAGACACGGCCCAGACUCCUACGGGAGGCAGCAGUGGGGAAUCUUAGACAAUGGGGGAAACCCUGAUCCAGCCAUGCCGCGUGAGCGAUGAAGGCCUUAGGGUUGUAAAGCUCUUUCGUGGGGGAAGAUAAUGACUGUACCCCAAGAAGAAGCCCCGGCUAACUCCGUGCCAGCAGCCGCGGUAAUACGGAGGGGGCUAGCGUUGUUCGGAAUUACUGGGCGUAAAGCGCACGUAGGCGGACCGGAAAGUCAGAGGUGAAAUCCCAGGGCUCAACCUUGGA